UGCAACCUGCCUUUAUCAGGGGAAUAGCCUUUCGAAAGGAAGAUUAAUGCCCCAUAAUAUAUCAUAUGGCAUCAUUUGAUAUUGAAAACUCCGGUGGAUAAAGAUGGGCACGCGCAGGAUUAGAUAGUUGGUAGGGUAACGGCCUACCAAGUCAACGAUCCUUAGGGGGCCUGAGAGGGUGAUCCCCCACACUGGUACUGAGACACGGACCAGACUCCUACGGGAGGCAGCAGUGAGGAAUAUUGGACAAUGGGUGAGAGCCUGAUCCAGCCAUCCCGCGUGAAGGACGACGGCCCUAUGGGUUGUAAACUUCUUUUGUAUAGGGAUAAACCUACCCUCGUGAGGGUAGCUGAAGGUACUAUACGAAUAAGCACCGGCUAACUCCGUGCCAGCAGCCGCGGUAAUACGGAGGGUGCAAGCGUUAUCCGGAUUUAUUGGGUUUAAAGGGUCCGUAGGCUGA
rnacentral:rRNA from 1 species